GAUGAACGCUGGCGGCGUGCCUAAUACAUGCAAGUCGAGCGAACGGACGAGAAGCUUGUUUCUCUGAUGUUAGCGGCGGACGGGUGAGUAACACGUGGAUAACCUACCUAUAAGACUGGGAUAACUUCGGGAAACCGGAGCUAAUACCGGAUAAUAUUUUGAACCGCAGGGUUCAAAAGUGAAAGACGGUCUUGCUGUAACUUAUAGAUGGAUCCGCGCUGCAUUAGCUAGUUGGUAAGGUAACGGCUUACCAAGGAAACGAUGCAUAGCCGACCUGAGAGGGUGAGCGGCCACACUGGAACUGAGACACGGUCCAGACUCCUACGGGAGGCAGCAGUAGGGAAUCUUCCGCAAUGGGCGAAAGCCUGACGGAGCAACGCCGCGUGAGUGAUGAAGGUCUUCGGAUCGUAAAACUCUGUUAUUAGGGAAGAACAUAUGUGUAAGUAACUGUGCACAUCUUGACGGUACCUACUCAGAAAGCCACGGCUACCUCCGU
rnacentral:rRNA from 1 species